AUGGACUCGGAUGACGAGGAAGCGCUUGUCGCACUGCUGGAGGAGGAAGCCGAGGCCGACGUCCAGGAAGAAGAGCAUCUCAUGGUGCUCGCCGCCCUCGCCCAGCUGCUGGCGAGCAAUGAAAAGCCGCGGCGAGGUGGCUCGGCGCCGGGGCGGGUGAAAGCAAAGAACCGGCAUCGUCUCGAAGGCUACUGCAUGCUCUACUCCGACUACUUCAUCGAUGCUCCACUUCACGGCGACAAAACAUUUCGGCACCGUUAUCGGAUGAGCCGAAAGCUAUUGCUCAGGAUUGUGAAUUCCAUCUGA
rnacentral:rRNA from 1 species